GACGAACGCUGGCGGCGUGCUUAACACAUGCAAGUCGAACGGAAAGGCCCUGCUUUUGCGGGGUGCUCGAGUGGCGAGCGGGUGAGUAACACGUGAGUAACCUGCCCUUGUCUGUGGGGUAACAUCACGAGACUCGGGCUAAUACCGCAUAGGAGCUCCUGAUGCAUGGUGGGGGAUGGAAAGAUUCGGCUGUUGGGGCUGGACUCGCGGCUUAUCAGCUUGUUGGUGGAGUAGGGGUUUACCAAGGGUUUGACGGGUAGCCGGCCUGAGAGGGUGACCGGCGACAUUGCGCCUAAGAGACGGAGCAGAAUCCUACGGGAGGCAGUAGGGGGGAGUAUUGCAGAAUGAGGGGACGCCAGAGGCAGAAAUGCUGCGUGCGGAAUGACGGGCUACGAGGGGUAAACAGCUUUGGACUGUGACGAAGAGGGAGUGACGGUAAUGGGUAAAGAAGCAACGGCUAACUACGUG
rnacentral:rRNA from 1 species